AGAUUCAAUUUAAAUAAUUUUUUUUUAUUGUACUUUAGGUUCUGAGAUACAUGUACAGAUCAUGCAGGGUUGUUGCAUAGGUACAUACAUGGCAAGGUGGUUUGCUGCCUCCAUCCCCCUGUCACCUAUAUCUGGCAUUUCUCCCCAUGUUAUCCCUCCCCAAAUCACCCAUCCCCUACUGUCCCUUCUCUAGCCCCUCCAACAGACCCCAGUGUAUGAUGCUCCCCUCCCUGUGUUCACAUGUUCUUAUUGUUCAACACCGGCCUACGAGUGAGAACAUGCAGUUUUUGGUUUUCUGCUCUAGUGUCAGUUUGCUGAGAAUGAUGGUUUCCAGAUUCAUCCAUGUCCCUAUGAAAGACACGAACUCAUCAUUUUCUAUGGCUGCAUAGUAUUCCAAUGUGUAUAUGUGCCACAUUUUCCUUGUCCAGUCUAUCAUUGAUGGACAUUUCGGUUGCUUCUAAGUCUUUGCUAUUGUAAACAGUGCUGCAAUGAACAUACGUGUGCAUGCAUCUUUAUAAUAGAACCAUUUAUAAUCCUUUCAGUAUAUACCCAGUAAUGGGAUUGCUGGAUCAAAUGGAAUUUCUAUUUCUAGGUCCUUGAGGAAUCGCCACACUGUCUUCCAUAAUGGUUGAACUAAUUUACACUCCUACCAGCAAUGUAAAAGUGUUCCUAUUUCUCCACAUCCUCUCCAGCAUCUGUUGGCUCCAGAUUUUUUAGUGAUUGCCAUGAGAUAGUAUCUCAAUGGCAUGAGAUGGUAUCUCAGUGUGGUUUUGAUUUGCAUUUUUCUAAUGUCCAGUGAUGAUGGGCUUCUUUUCAUAUGUUUGUUGGCCUCAUAUAUGUCAAGUGAAGUCUGUUGUCUUUCUCUUUACUCUGGGCAGGUCUCUGAUUUGCUUAGGCCAGUAGGAUGUUAACAAAUUCAGGAUUGCUCACUUUCUACUUUGGAACAUGUCUGCCACCUUGUGGAGAAACCCAGAAUAGCCUGCAUGUGAUGAGUGGCACGUAGCCCAUUUGCCCAUGUUAAUUCAACCAACAUCCUGGCAACUGCUGGAAAUGUGAAUGAGGCCAUCUUAGAUCUUCUGACACCAGCUGAGCACCAGGAGUUUAUCAGAGAGACAAGCAGAACCAGCCAAAUCAUCUCAAACAAAAAGAAGUGCCAUCUAACCCACAGAAUCAGAAGUUAAGUAAAUGGUGAUUAUAGAGGCACCAAGUUUUGGGAUGGUUACUUUUCAUAGUGAUGGAUAAUUGAUAAAGACACUCAAGAGUGACUAGAGCCAGAUUAAGGUUGUUGAGUGGCAAAUGAUGCUGCUGAGCCUACACAAAACUUCCAUCCCUAUUGCCAUGGCAGCUUUCCUCAGGAGCCCGUUGGACAAAGGAACUCGCCAACACUCCCAGUACAGGUUUUGUGCCAAUAUCCUGUUGUGUUGAUGACCGUUGACUGAUAAUGAAUCCUGACAUUAGGCUCAGAAUCCAUUGCUGGUUCAAGUCUGUCUCAAAGUGGGUCCACUGAGUGUAUCAACCUGACCUGUGUUUUUUCAACCUGGUUCUGAAGAUGUCGUUGGAACAAACAUCGAUGGAACACCCGUGUCGGCACCUGACACAGGGAGAGGAUGAUGGUGAUAAAACGGGCUAUGUGAAACCCCAGACUUGCUUCUUUCUUCAAAAUAUUAAACCAAAGCAAUAUAAUAUUUCUAGAGAAAUCAGCAAACUCAGUGCCACAUUAAAAGUCGUUAAUGAUGAAGGAGUAAAGGGUCUAACCAUGUCUCUGUUGAACUUGGCCUGUUCGGAGAGUGAAGAAACAGAGAGGUCUGAGAGACGCUGGAGGAUAUUAGUGAGUUAUCGUGAACUAUUCCAUGUCGCUUCAAACCGAAGUCACCGCUACAAAUCCAGCCUCUUUACUAGAAUCAGUCUGGAUGGCCCCUUAUGUCCGGUGGGUGGCUACGGACACGCUUGUCUCCAGUUGCUGACUGACUUACAAGCAUAAAGGUUUAAAUACUUCAGAUGCUUUGACAGCACACGUGUGCCAGGAGGUGCCCAGUCAACCUCAGUCCUGUUACCAAAACUCUAGUCGAAGAGCCGACAGUAAACAAAAGCCACUCUCGGUUUUCCAGGUUUGAAAGUUAAUAUAGGAAUUAAAGGCUUAUAGAAAUAUUACAGGAACUACGAGAGGAAAGGUCAGGAAAGCUAACUCUGAACAGUAAGUAAUUGAGCAAAAAUUUCAGGAAAGCAACCAGAGAUCUCAGCCAGAAGCUCCCAGUGACUGUCCUGGAAACUGCUCCAGUGCCAAAGGUUCUCUGUGAAACCCUCACUGAUUGUGUUUGUGUGCAGCAGCCAAGCAGGGAGUUACCCUGCGUUCUUUGAAACGGUGCAGUGACACCUCUCAUCUGUUCAUUUGUCUGGCUGUGGCCUUCAGAGAAUAAUGGCUUCUCCAGAUUUUCUGUCUUCCAAAGCUCACACAAGUGAUUUUGUUGGCAAAGCUUAACACGGAAACAUACGGAGGGAAGGUUUUGGGAAAUGCACAGGAGACCUUGGAAAGCUGUGGAAAUUAUCUCGAAUUGACAACAGUCAAAUGUCACAUGAAGAAAUCAAAUUACCUUAUUUUAUGAAUGAAGCAAUAACGUGUGACGUUGUUCAACAUUUCAAAGCUAUUAAGCAGCACAGUCAUUUAUUCACAAUUGUAAGUUGCUCACCCCACCACCCAAAGCAAAGGACAUGUCUUUUUUACUGCUACGAUCUAAGAGACUAAAACAUUAUCGGUUGUGUGUAAGUAUUAAAUAAAUAUUUGUUUAAAAAUUAGUGAUAGCAUAAUAUUUUAUUCAAAAAGACAUUGUUUUGUUUGCUCAGGAAAUUUCCCUAGACAUUUUAAAGACUGUAUUUUUUUCCUCUAUCUGCUCCCUACAUAAGCCUGAAGCUAUUCCCAGCAUACAUUAAAACUUCCAGAUCUAUCCUUUGAGCAUUUUGAAAUUUUCUAUCUUUAUGCUAAUUAUUUCCUUUGUCCUUUUAUCACUUUCAGCAAACCUCACUCUAAAGCAGAAGUGCUAGUAAAGUUUUAUUCUGGCCGUUUUUACACCGUUUACUCUUCUGAAAUUUUCUCUUGUGAAACUUUUUACGCUUGUGAAAUUGAUGAACGGUUCUCCCUUCACUUUCUUAUCUCUCAUCUUUUCUUGUAUAACAUUUUGUAUUACUUCAGAGUUCUCUAAGAACUCUUCAAACAUCUGUCACACUGAUUUUUUUUACCCUAUGUUAUUCAAUUUUCCACUUAAGGACUCUUACACAUUUUAACAUUUGAAAAUUACGAGUUUAAUUUCAGUCUAACCUACUGAUCUCAGCUUAGUAGAUUUAAUAUUCUUUCACAACUUAAUAGAAAAAGGAAUUCUAGAUACUAACUUUUCUUUUUCAGCAACUGUUUAAUUGGAGGACCUUGGUUUGAUUUUUUAAACUAGUGGUUCUUUUUAAAACUCCUUAAUGACUUUAUAUUUCUGAGAAACUGGGAAAGAGCACGUUGGAGUGAGUUGUGAAUGUUUUUGUCCAGUAUUGGCUGUGUAGGCUAUGCUAGUAAUUUUUGAAUUCUUGUUAAAUAAAAUCUUUUAGGGCAGAUGAAGGAAGUUAGUUAUUGCGGUUUAAUAAUUAGAGAUUAAAGACUCAAGUGCUGGCGUGAAGAAAAUGCAGAAAGAGGAGCAGCAACCUUGCUCCUCUGUCAACAUGUAAUUUCUGUAUUAGUUGUGAGACCCAGUAAUCUUGGUGAUGUGCUACUCUUCACAGACGUGAUUACCUUCUUAUUAGACAGUCAAAACAAGUAAUAUUUGCCAAUCACAUGAAAUUUAAGGCGGGCUUAAAAACAUAUACCUCAAGGAAAAACAGCUGCGUUGACAACAGCACAGGGCUCUCUUUAUAAAACUAUCCAUGGAAUAAAUUUUGCCUUCCCAACAAGUGCCUUAGGAUUUAAAUAGGUUUAAUAGCCUAUAUCACUUCAUGUUAAUUAGGGCUAAAGAUCUUUUUCUGGGUUUGCUUUAAAUUUAUUAAUCAAUUUUUAUAUUGUACUAGCCAUUCUCAAAGUUGUCAGAUCACUGAAAUAAAUGAAAAGUGCAAAAGUACAAAAAUAAAAUAAUAUACACCCAAAUUCUAAUGUAUUUUUAUAAAACUCCCCCCAAAACUCUUAUGAUUUUAAUUUAGAAGCACUGGUCUCUCUGUCUUCGAUGUUCUUAUUGAAAUCACAUCUUUUCUUGGUGUGUUUGCUGUCCUCCUUUCCAGUCCAGGCUCAGGUUCACUCUUACCUUUGGUAUCUUUGGCUAAUUCAGUAACAAUUGAAAGAAGAGAGCAAGUAAUUCCUUGAACUCAGAUUGCUAAUAUUGAAAGAGAAACUCCCACUUUUAGUAGUUCAUUGGUUGCUUUUCUUUCUUAAUGAUCAUAAACAAUCUAGCUCUGUUCUUUCCAGAGUUAUGCUAAUCUUUAGUUUUAUUUAUUAUAUGUACUCUACUAAAAGAUACCUUUGGAACUCAUUACAAAAUGAGUCUUGACAUUGUUUUCUGAAAUACUAUUAUUUAAUACAUCAUAAGUUGUAUCUCAAGCAAAGGGAGUUGGUUAAAUUGAAAUUAUUUUUGUGUUCUCUAUGUUGUAAUGAUUAUAUAGUUGUCAAUCAGAGCAGGGAUCCAAGUGGCCUUGUAGCAAUAAAAUCAUAGGAACGUUCUUGCUAGCGUGGGGAAAUGAGCUAGGCCAUGCUCGUCAUUCUACCCUUCCUUGAUUUUAAAAUUCUUCUCAAUAUAUCUUUUGAAAUACAUACCAAUGCUUUACUCUGUUGGGAUCUUUCAAGCUCAGUGAGAGCGAAAGAAAAUCUCUCAUCUAGGAGUCCACAAAUGUGGAAAGUGUCAGUUGGCAACUGGCUGUGUCAACAGUUCACUUUCAUGUAUCAUAAAGCUACAGAUGAAGUCUGUCCCCCUUCAGAGGAUAAACCGUGUCUCGGCUAUAAUGAUUCCUUCUCUUCCCAAAUUAUAAGAACAGGAUGGGGAAGUGAUUUGAACGAAAUGUCUGUGUUUUCUUUCUCAGGAAAUAAGGAAUAAAAUAGCUCUUUUUUUUAUAACACAUCUGGUUUGAAGGGACUAUUUCCUUACUUUUAAAUUAUAAAAAUAAACAUAAAAAAUUAAACAAAAUAUUAACUUUUAAUAAUAGAGAAAUAGAAUAGAAUAUUAUACUUGGGGUUUUCCCUAUAUUCCUCAGUACUGUAAUAAAGGCUACAGAGAAUUUGUCUUAAACAUCCUUUGCAGUAACUCCUGGAGUAGGAAUUAUAACCUUUAAUUAACAAACAUUCCUGUUUGAAAAGUAAUGAGUUUGCCCAAAUUUUCAGAGCUCCUGCGAAGUCUUUUCUAGGAUAGAGAAUGUAUUUCAAUAAGCAAAUCAGAGCUAAGAUUUAUUUUCCCCAUGUGACCCUUUCCAUGACUGAGGAAGGAGAAAGAAGCAGAAAAUCAUCCUUGCUGUUCUAUGUGGGAUCAAUUUAAUACAGAAUAACAGUACCUGGAACAUGGUGGCAUACGUCACAAAAGGAUAUGAAAGAGUAAGACAUUUAAAACUGUUUGUACUAACUAAAGUAAAAUAUGAUGGGUAUUCAUCCAGGUUAACUUCCUGUCUUUUCUGCAUAUCAUGUACUUUAUAGAUGGCUUUGCAUUAUGAUCUUAAAUAUUUCUAAUCACUAAAAGAAACAUAAGCAGUUUUUAGCACUCAGUGGACAGCAAGCAUAUGUAGGACCAGUUUUCAAGGUGGUUCACAGUGUACCUUUUUAAGCCAGGAGUGAACAGUGGAAAAAGCCCAUGCUGUUCUUAGUUUUUAAGGACAGUGGAUUUGUUUUGUGUGACUAGCAAUGCACUUAUGAGUCAAACAGUGGACUUUUCACUCUGGUGCACCACAGAUACUUUCAAUUAACCUAAGCAGGUACAUUUUUAUUCUGUUUUUAGACAACGGAUAUAAUGAGAACUGAGAGCAAAAAUGUUUAUUAUAGCUUCCAAAAUUCUUUUUUUUUAGUAGGAGUCUUACUCUGUCGCCGAGGUUGAAGUGCAGUGGCCUGAUCUCAGCUCACUGCAACCUCUCUGCCUCCUGAUCUUAAGUGAUUCUCUUGCCUCAGCCCCAAGCAGCGGGCACCACACCCAGAUAUUUUUCAUUUUUAUUUUUGUAAUUUAUGUAGACACAGGGUUUUACCAUGUUGGUCAGGCUGGUCUCAAACUCCUGACCUCAGGUGAUCUGCCUAUCUCAGCCUCCCAAAGUGAUGGGAUUACAGGUGUGAGCCACUGCACCCACCAUGUGACUUCUAGAUUUCUGUUAGAAUUUUCAUGUGACUUUUCUUACAGAUUUGAUGUGAGAUUAAUUGAUUUUUUUCAGGAAACUUUUUAUUAUCAUGAAAUAAAUCUUAGGUGGAAAGAUUGAAUGUAUUAAAGGUGUUUUUGUUUUUGCAACUUUUAUAAUUUAAUCUAGUUAUGUUGUCUUAAGAACAAAGAAUGACCUGAAUCAUUUCUGCAUUUAAAGUUAAUUAAUAAAUUAGAUGUGAUACUUGACAAGAUUUAAUAUAAUUUUAUAGACGCUUCUGAGAUCUACUCUCUGUAUAGUUUUAAAAAGCAUGUACACUCUCUUUGUAAUUCUAUAUCUUUUAAAAUUAGACCUCAUUAAAAAAGUAUCUUUUUAUUUGUAUUUUAUCUUUGAAAGACUGGAAUUAGUAGGAACAUGUGAAAAUCUCCUGUAUCAGUUUCAUUUCUGAGUUCUAAAAAAUUGUUUAAACUUCUCUUUGCAUAUGUUUUGGGAUUAUUUGGAUAUGCUCUUUUACAAUGUUUAUAUUUACUUUCUGGGUUAUACUUUUACUGAUACAAAAUUUAAUGUUUUAAGUUCCAUUAUAAUUUCAAAAUAAACUUCUUACACAGUUUUUCUUUGUAAGCUAUUAGUAAAUUGUUAUUGAAUAAAUAUUAAUUUAAUAGUUCCAUGUUCCAGGCACACAUGUAUAUACAUAUGAGGGAAGUACAAGGGAAGAAAACCCUAGGGACGUUCAUGAUCCAACACAUGGGUGUGACUGGAUCCUGAUGGGUUAUACAUACAGGGAGUACAAGAUAUGAGAUCAGCGAAUAGGCAGAAGUUCAACCUGAAAAGGGCUUGAAGACUUAACAAUGUUUGGGUUUUAUCUUACUUAUAUGUUUAAAAGUUUACUCUAAUUGUUUAAUAAGUAUUGGGUAAUUAUAAGGCAUUGAGAAAUAAAAAGCCAGGAGAACAAUAAUGGCCUAAAUAUAGUA